UACGUAGGGGGCAAGCGUUGUCCGGAAUCAUUGGGCGUAAAGAGCGCGUAGGCGGCCCGGUAAGUCUGCUGUGAAAGUCAAAGGCUCAACCUUAGAAUGUCAGCGGAUACUGCCGGGCUAGAGUCCGGAAGAGGCGAGUGGAAUUCCUGGUGUAGCGGUGGAAUGCGCAGAUAUCAGGAGGAACACCAACGGCGAAGGCAGCUCGCUAGGACGGUACUGACGCUGAGGCGCGAAAGCGUGGGGAGCGAACAGG
rnacentral:rRNA from 1 species